AUCCGUCUCUUCGGUAGCGUCAGGCCUUUUGAAAUCUAUCGGAAUCACGUCAUGAUGGUUUCCUGUUGUGAGAAUAAAGAACGACGAAUAUAUAUUCUCCUUACGUAGCCUAGAUUUUCCAGUAUUCGGUAGUAUAUAAACAACACCCAGCGAAACAUUCUAUGUCUUAUCUGGAGGACUUCUUUUGAAAAUGAACACGUGUCAAUUGUUCUUGAGUCUGUUACUAAUCGGAACAAUCUUUGUUUGUCAAAAUGGAGAAACAGACGCCAAAGCGGUUCACGGUAAUCUUAAAAGAAGUGUUGGAAAUUUUCUACAAGUACGACAUGAUUACCCCCAGAGGUCGGGCGGUAUUAUAAAUAGUGGACCACGGAACCGAUGCUUUGGAAUAAACUGCCGAAGAGGAUGAACAUAUGAUAAAAAAAAAAAAAAAAAAAAAAAAAAAAAAAAAAAAAAAAACUCGUUGUAAGGAAAUGUGCGAACGUUCUGCGACUUGACGAAAUGUUAUAAAUAUGAAAAUAGAUUCCUCUACCAUGAUGUGUUGGGCUUUAUGUAGAUGCUAGUACGGAUGUUUGAAAAAUUGAUGGUUUGGAAAAUAUAAAAUGCGAAGAUAUGCUGAAAGUUGUAUCUGUUUGAAUUGGAACUAUUGGAACUAUUGCACCUGUCUGAAUGUGAAGCCCAGAAAACAACCGAAGCGAGUAUUUGUGCACCAGUAGUAGUACCAAAUCCGUCAGUGGAAGUAUUCCAUAAUAAUCACCACUCCAAAGCUUCAACUGCAUAUGCAUAUGCGGAUGCAGUGUCCUCCAUGAACACACCAAGCGUUUUCGAAACGUCUCAAAUGACCAACACCUCGAAGGAGCGGAUCUAUGUCCAAUCGAAUACGCAGCAACAACAGUCAUCCAAACACUCUAAUGUCGCUCAUACCUCGAAAAUACCUUACUCUUACACAUUAUACAACCUUACACAUUCCUCUACCAUGAUGUGUUGGGCUUUAUGUAGAUGCUAGUACGGAUGUUUGAAAAAUUGAUGGUUUGGAAAAUAUAAAAUGCGAAGAUAUGCUGAAAGUUGUAUCUGUUUGAAUUGGAACUAUUGGACAAUACCAUGUUUACCAAUGAAAUUAACAUACACAAAAGAACUCCAGACAAUAAACAUUACGAUCACUACACAGACAGAAAAAUAGAUAUAAACACAUUUCCAAUGUUUGUAGUACCACACCGAGACACAGAUUCUAUGAUGUAGAAGAUGCACGUAUCAUUAUAUGGUUGUCGUGAUGUAGAAAUAAAUGAGAUUGAUCACUGUUCGUUAUUUUCACCUUUCAUCUAUGUUUCUCUUUAUACGUGUACCUUUCAUAUUUCUGAGAUAUAUAUUAUGAUGUGUUUGUCUUCAUAUAAUUAAACUUAUUUUUUUAUUGAUUUGCAUUGUCCAUUGUUCAAAUCAAAAGUAUAUGUGAUUUCAAAAUUGACUGGGAGUGGUGUCGUGCUCCUGUAAUCUAGUUAGUUGGAGGUCAGAGCUUUUGUGAUGUCAAAAGUUAUUUACAAUGGAUUAAUAUCUCACGAUUGAAAUACAAUAUCAAAACAAGCUGUAAAAAUUGACAUUAUUGAAAUGGGUUUAAACAUAUUGUUCCAUAUAUUCGAUUGCUUCUGUAAAAUAAAAGACUGGAGUUGUAUAAUUUUCAA